rnacentral:lncRNA from 1 species
UGGGGCAGGAAAAUCUUCCUCCAUUUCUUCCUACCGCUGCACACUUCAGUUCUCUUUAGGGCCCCCCACCCCCACCCCGGUGUACCGCUCAGUCUCCAUGUAAAAGAGCCAUCGUGCCUCGCGCAGCAACAGGCAGCCUGAGGGUGCCCAAGGAUGUCGCAGCAGCGGCCAUUGCCAGCUUCUCUGUGUGCUGCUGAGCCUGACAACUUGGCCUGCUGUGCUGGGGUGAAGUGCAAACGUCGGCUCUGCUCACAGAGUCCUGCCCAGCGUGGCCACAGGGCUCUGGCCACACAGCCUGGCUCACUGUCCUGUUCUGCAUGGAUCCUGGAACUUCACCGGCCCUUCUGCCUGGAGUCUGUUUCUGGCUUCAUGUGGUGGAGACCCUGCAGGCUGUGACCCCCAAGCUCCUGGAGUGACCCGUCCCCUUCCCUGUCCCCCCACCAUCCCACCAGCAGCAGGCGUCUCAUACUGUGGCAGUUUCCUAGUCCUCCUCAUACACACACCCCUGCCUGGAAACUUCCAGAGGGCAGGAAGCCCUCCAUCAAGGUCAGCAUUUUGUUCUAUGGUACCCAACUCCUGGUGGUGUGCGGGGAUUAUGCUGGAGAGGAGGAAAUCUGUUUUUUGUUGUUAAUUUGGUUUUGUUUUUGUACCAGGGAUUGAACUCAGCUUAACCACUGAGCCACAUACCUACUCCUUUUUAUUUUUAAGACAGGAUCUUUUUAAAAUUUAUUUAUUUAUUCGGAUUUGUUAGACAUGACAGCAGAAUGCAUUUCAAUUCCUAGUACACAUAUAGAGCACAAUAUUUCAUGUCUCUGGUUGUACACAAAGUAGAGUCACUCCAUUUGUGUCUUCAUACAUGUCUUUAGGGUAAUGAUGUCCAUCUCAUUCCACCAUAUUUCCUACCCCCCCCACUCCCUCCCUUCCCCUCCCUCCCCUUUGCCCUAUUGAAAGUUCCUCCAUUCUUCCCAUGCUCCCCCACCCAUCCGCAUUAUGAAUCAUCACAUUCGGCCUUUGGUUUGGGGGGGGAUUGGCUUACUUCACUUAGCAUGAUGUUCUCCAGCUCCAUCCAUUUACCUGCAAAUGCCAUGAUUUUAUUCUCUUUUAAUGCUGAAUAAUAUUCCAUUGUGUAUGUAUAUACCACAUUUUCUUUAUCCAUUCAUCUAUUGAAAGGCAUCUAGGUUGGUUCCACAAUUUAGCUAUUGUGAAUUGAGCUGCUAUAAACAUUGAUGUGGCUGUGACUCUGUAUAUGCUGUUUUUAAGUCCUGUGGAUAUAAACUGAGGAGUGGGAUAUCUGGGUCAAAUGGUGAUUCCAUUCCAAGUUUUCCAAAGAUUCUCCAUACUGCUUUCCAGAUUGGUUGCACCAAUUUGCAGUCCUACCAGCAAUGUAAGAGUCUGCCAUUUUCCCCCACAUCCUCACCAACACUUUUUGUUGUUUGUAGUCUUAAUAGCUGCCAUUCUGAGUUGAGUGAGAUGAAAUCUUAGUUUUGAUUUGCAUUUCUCUAAUUGCUAGAGAUGUUGAACCUUUUUUCCUAUAUUUGUUGAUUAAUUGUGUAUCAUCUUCUGAGAAGUGUCUGUUCAGUUUCUUGGCCCAUUUAUUGAUUGGGUUAUUUGAUUUUUUGGUGUUAAGUUUUUUGAGUUCUUUAUCUCCUGGAGAUUAGUGCUCUAUCUGAUGUGCAUGUGGUAAAAAUUUGCUCCCAUUCUGUAGGCUCUUUUCACCUCACUGAUUGUUUCUUUUGCUGAGAAGCUUUUUUGUUUGAAUCCAUCUCAUUUAGUGGUUCUUGAUUUUAUUUCUGUCUAUAUAGGAGUCUUAUUAAGGAAAUCAGGACCUAAUCCGACAAGAUGAAGAUUUGGCUCAGCGGUAGAGCACUCACCUGGCACGUGUGAGGCACUGAGCUUGAUCCUCAGCACCACAUAAAAUAAAUUAAUGAAUUAAAGGUAUUGUGUUCAAC